GGGCGCUCCAAGUAGGAAGAUAAGCGGGAUUGCUGGAAGCGGGAGAGUCGGGAGGAGCGGCGAAGGGCUCCUCUUCCCCAUUGGCUGCGCCCACGGAGCAGCCUCGUUGCGAUUGGCCGUACGCGGGGGGCGGCAGUCCCGCGUCGGCCCGCCCCUCGGGCCGCGAGAGGCGCCGGGAUCGCGGGCGCCGGCUGAGCCAGCGGCUCUUGGGAGGCUGCGUCCGCGCGCCGGCGAGGCGAGGCGGCCGGGCCCUGCGCGUCAGGCCUGAGACCUGGGAGGAAGCUGGAGAAAAGAUGCCCUCUGAAUCUUUCUGUUUGGCUGCCCAGGCUCGCCUCGACUCCAAAUGGUUGAAAACAGAUAUACAGGUAUUGAGUGUUGGUAGAUAUGAGAGUCCAGUGUUUAGAGCUGUGUUGCGUGGCCGGGCGCAGUGGCUCACGCCUGUAAUCCCGGCAGUUUGGGAGGCCGAGGCGGGUGGAUGCCCUGAGGUCAGGAGUUGGAGACCAGCCUGACCAACAUGGUGAAACCCCGUCUCUACUAAAAAUACAAAAUUAGCCAGGCGUGGUGGUGUAUGCCUGUAAUCCCAGCCACUCGGGAGGCUGAGGCAGGAGAAUCGCUUGAACCCGGGAGGUGGAGGUUGCAAUGGGUCAAGAUCAUGCCAUUGCACUCCAGCCUGGACAAUGAGAGCAAAACUGUUUCAAAAAAAAAAAAGCUGUUGUGGAUGAUGGGAUUGUUAUUCAUAGUGUAAUGUUACAUAAGACAGAGUACAGAGAAUUGGGUCAAGAAUUGGUGUAGUUACUCUUUGGGUUUGUUUCUCUUUAAACAUUUCCUUUGAUUUAGCUAUAAUGAUCUGUUUUGUCAUUUUAAGUGGAUGGGAGAGGUGAGAGAUGAGUACUUUCAUAUUUCUGAAAUCCUGAGAUUCAGGCAAAGUUUUAAUAAUUGUUUUAUAUUAGUGUUUAUGUAUUUUGAGAAACUUUUUGGAGUAAAGGACUUUACGUAAUAAAGUGUUUUUCUUAAUAAUUGUAAUUUAAUAACUGCUAAACAUGAGUUCUAGUGUCUUGAUCUAAAACCAGUUUAAUGCUGAAUUGAGUUCCUAUGAUGGGUUGGGCAGAUAAACAUACAGUGAAGCACCAUUUAUAUCUUAGAGGGCCUGUUGUUUUGAUUUAUUAAGUUUAAUACACAGUACUUGGUCCUUGUUACACAUUUCCAAUAUGAUUAGAAAGUCUUUUUUUUUUUUUUUU